AGAGUUUGAUCCUGGCUCAGGACGAACGCUGGCGGUGUGCUUCACACAUGCAAGUCGAGCGAAUGAAGAAGGUAGCUUGCUACUUUUGGAUUUAGCGGCGGACGGGUGAGUAAUAUAUAGGAAUCUGCCCUAGAGCGGGGAACAACAGACCGAAAGGUUUGCUAAUGCCCCAUAGGUACGCAGUCUUCGGAUUGUUUAUUAAAGGAGUAAUCCACUCUAGGAUGAGCCUGUAUCCGAUUAGCUAGUUGGCGGGGUAAAGGCCCACCAAGGCUACGAUCGGUAGUUGGUCUGAGAGGAUGAUCAGCCACAAUGGGACUGAGACACGGCCCAUACUCCUACGGGAGGCAGCAGUGGGGAAUUUUACACAAUGGGGGAAACCCUGAUGUAGCGACACCGCGUGAACGAAGAAGCCUUUUGGGGUGUAAAGUUCUGUCGGCUGGAACGAAAAAAAAUGACGGUACCAGCAAAGGAAGCAUCGGCUAACUACGUGCCAGCAGCCGCGGUAAGACGUAGGAUGCAAGCGUUGUCCGGAUUUAUUGGGCGUAAAGAGUUCGUAGGCGGUUAUUUAAGUCUGGUGUUAAAUACUGUGGCCCAACCACAGAACUGCAUUGGAUACUGGAUGACUUGAGUGCGGUAGAGGCGAGUGGAAUUCCCAGUGUAGCGGUGAAAUGCGUAGA
rnacentral:rRNA from 1 species